rnacentral:rRNA from 1 species
GAUUAAGUUAUUAAGGGCGCACGGUGGAUGCCUUGGCACUAGAAGCCGAUGAAGGACGUUACUAACGACGAUAUGCUUUGGGGAGCUGUAAGUAAGCUUUGAUCCAGAGAUUUCCGAAUGGGGAAACCCAGCAUGAGUUAUGUCAUGUUAUCGAUAUGUGAAUACAUAGCAUAUCAGAAGGCACACCCGGAGAACUGAAACAUCUUAGUACCCGGAGGAAGAGAAAGAAAAUUCGAUUCCCUUAGUAGCGGCGAGCGAAACGGGAAGAGCCCAAACCAACAAGCUUGCUUGUUGGGGUUGUAGGACACUCUAUACGGAGUUACAAAGGACGACAUUAGACGAAUCAUCUGGAAAGAUGAAUCAAAGAAGGUAAUAAUCCUGUAGUCGAAAAUGUUGUCUCUCUUGAGUGGAUCCUGAGUACGACGGAGCACGUGAAAUUCCGUCGGAAUCUGGGAGGACCAUCUCCUAAGGCUAAAUACUCUCUAGUGACCGAUAGUGAACCAGUACCGUGAGGGAAAGGUGAAAAGCACCCCGGAAGGGGAGUGAAAUAGAACCUGAAACCGUGUGCUUACAAGUAGUCAGAGCCCGUUAAUGGGUGAUGGCGUGCCUUUUGUAGAAUGAACCGGCGAGUUACGAUUUGAUGCAAGGUUAAGCAGUAAAUGUGGAGCCGUAGCGAAAGCGAGUCUGAAUAGGGCGUUUAGUAUUUGGUCGUAGACCCGAAACCAGGUGAUCUACCCUUGGUCAGGUUGAAGUUCAGGUAACACUGAAUGGAGGACCGAACCGACUUACGUUGAAAAGUGAGCGGAUGAACUGAGGGUAGCGGAGAAAUUCCAAUCGAACCUGGAGAUAGCUGGUUCUCUCCGAAAUAGCUUUAGGGCUAGCCUCAAGUGAUGAUUAUUGGAGGUAGAGCACUGUUUGGACGAGGGGCCCCUCUCGGGUUACCGAAUUCAGACAAACUCCGAAUGCCAAUUAAUUUAACUUGGGAGUCAGAACAUGGGUGAUAAGGUCCGUGUUCGAAAGGGAAACAGCCCAGACCACCAGCUAAGGUCCCAAAAUAUAUGUUAAGUGGAAAAGGAUGUGGCGUUGCCCAGACAACUAGGAUGUUGGCUUAGAAGCAGCCAUCAUUUAAAGAGUGCGUAAUAGCUCACUAGUCGAGUGACACUGCGCCGAAAAUGUACCGGGGCUAAACAUAUUACCGAAGCUGUGGAUUGUCCUUUGGACAAUGGUAGGAGAGCGUUCUAAGGGCGUUGAAGCAUGAUCGUAAGGACAUGUGGAGCGCUUAGAAGUGAGAAUGCCGGUGUGAGUAGCGAAAGACGGGUGAGAAUCCCGUCCACCGAUUGACUAAGGUUUCCAGAGGAAGGCUCGUCCGCUCUGGGUUAGUCGGGUCCUAAGCUGAGGCCGACAGGCGUAGGCGAUGGAUAACAGGUUGAUAUUCCUGUACCACCUAUAAUCGUUUUAAUCGAUGGGGGACGCAGUAGGAUAGGCGAAGCGUGCGAUUGGAUUGCACGUCUAAGCAGUAAGGCUGAGUAUUAGGCAAAUCCGGUACUCGUUAAGGCUGAGCUGUGAUGGGGAGAAGACAUUGUGUCUUCGAGUCGUUGAUUUCACACUGCCGAGAAAAGCCUCUAGAUAGAAAAUAGGUGCCCGUACCGCAAACCGACACAGGUAGUCAAGAUGAGAAUUCUAAGGUGAGCGAGCGAACUCUCGUUAAGGAACUCGGCAAAAUGACCCCGUAACUUCGGGAGAAGGGGUGCUCUUUAGGGUUAACGCCCAGAAGAGCCGCAGUGAAUAGGCCCAAGCGACUGUUUAUCAAAAACACAGGUCUCUGCUAAACCGUAAGGUGAUGUAUAGGGGCUGACGCCUGCCCGGUGCUGGAAGGUUAAGAGGAGUGGUUAGCUUCUGCGAAGCUACGAAUCGAAGCCCCAGUAAACGGCGGCCGUAACUAUAACGGUCCUAAGGUAGCGAAAUUCCUUGUCGGGUAAGUUCCGACCCGCACGAAAGGCGUAACGAUUUGGGCACUGUCUCAACGAGAGACUCGGUGAAAUCAUAGUACCUGUGAAGAUGCAGGUUACCCGCGACAGGACGGAAAGACCCCGUGGAGCUUUACUGUAGCCUGAUAUUGAAAUUCGGCACAGCUUGUACAGGAUAGGUAGGAGCCUUUGAAACGUGAGCGCUAGCUUACGUGGAGGCGCUGGUGGGAUACUACCCUAGCUGUGUUGGCUUUCUAACCCGCACCACUUAUCGUGGUGGGAGACAGUGUCAGGCGGGCAGUUUGACUGGGGCGGUCGCCUCCUAAAAGGUAACGGAGGCGCUCAAAGGUUCCCUCAGAAUGGUUGGAAAUCAUUCAUAGAGUGUAAAGGCAUAAGGGAGCUUGACUGCGAGACCUACAAGUCGAGCAGGGUCGAAAGACGGACUUAGUGAUCCGGUGGUUCCGCAUGGAAGGGCCAUCGCUCAACGGAUAAAAGCUACCCCGGGGAUAACAGGCUUAUCUCCCCCAAGAGUUCACAUCGACGGGGAGGUUUGGCACCUCGAUGUCGGCUCAUCGCAUCCUGGGGCUGUAGUCGGUCCCAAGGGUUGGGCUGUUCGCCCAUUAAAGCGGUACGCGAGCUGGGUUCAGAACGUCGUGAGACAGUUCGGUCCCUAUCCGUCGUGGGCGUAGGAAAUUUGAGAGGAGCUGUCCUUAGUACGAGAGGACCGGGAUGGACAUACCUCUGGUGUACCAGUUGUCGUGCCAACGGCAUAGCUGGGUAGCUAUGUGUGGACGGGAUAAGUGCUGAAAGCAUCUAAGCAUGAAGCCCCCCUCAAGAUGAGAUUUCCCAACUUCGGUUAUAAGAUC